GUGAAUGAGUCCCCGUUUCUUACAUUUAUAGCCCUCCUUUUCCUCCAAGGAGCUCAUGUCAAUGUACAUGGUUCUUCUCUACUCUAGAUCCCAGGGGUGAAAAAGGGGAAAGUGAACCUCCUCUCAGCUGUUUCCGGUUACUAGAGCUGGCUGAAGGGCUAUGAUCCAAGGCUGUCUGUUUUACACUUAAAAACAAACAAACAUAUCCUCCACCCCACAAUAUUUCCUACUUUGUUUCACUAAAUCUCCUUUCCUCGCCUGAUCUCAGUCAUGCAGUGGAGCAUGAAGAGGCGGAGAUGAGGCUCAGGCAAUUAUUUUACAACAGGGGCAAUGGUGAUGUCUGCUGGGGACCUCUUGGCCAGCCCUCUGCAUGCCGAAUAAUGAUGAAUUUCUCAAAGAGAAAAUCACCCACUCAUCUAAGAAGAUGAAAAGCAGUGUACGUUAUGCGAAAUACAGAAACAGAACAAAACCACACAUAUGAUUCACAUAUGGCAGAGGGAAGAGCAUUCCACAACCCAGGAACAAGAAUAGAAAUGCUCAUUUUAGGGACACCACUCGAUUGCAUUCUGUAAUAAGUAUGCGUAUGAAACCUGUAAAGAAUUACAGUCCACCCUAGUGAUCAAGAGAAGCCCUUGCUCCCAUUGCACCGGUCUCUCUCGCUCACCUUGGAUAUCUGGAUG